rnacentral:rRNA from 1 species
AUUGAACGCUGGCGGCAGGCCUAACACAUGCAAGUCGAGCGGCAGAAGGGAGCUUGCUCCUGGAUUCAGCGGCGGACGGGUGAGUAAUGCCUAGGAAUCUCCCUGGUUGUGGGGGAUAACGUCCGGAAACGGGCGCUAAUACCGCAUACGUCCUGAGGGACAAAGUGGGGGAUCUUCGGACCUUACGCUAUCAGAUGAGCCUAUGUCGGAUUAGCUAGUUGGUGGGGUAAAGGCCUACCAAGGCGACGAUCCGUAACUGGUCUGAGAGGAUGAUCAGUCACACUGGAACUGAGACACGGUCCAGACUCCUACGGGAGGCAGCAGUGGGGAAUAUUGGACAAUGGGCGAAAGCCUGAUCCAGCCAUGCCGCGUGUGUGAAGAAGGUCUUCGGAUUGUAAAGCACUUUAAGUUGGAAAGAAGGGCAGUAAGUUAAUACCUUGCUGUUUUGACGGUACCAACAGAAUAAGCACCGGCUAACUUCGUG